rnacentral:rRNA from 1 species
UACGGAGGGUGCAAGCGUUGUUCGGAAUCACUGGGCUUAAAGCGCGUGUAGGCGGAGUACCUUGUGUCGGGUGAAAGCCCCGGACUCAACCCGGGAACGGCUUGGCAAACGGGUACUCUUGAGGGAGGUAGAGGUGACUGGAACGACGGGUGGAGCGGUGAAAUGCGUAGAUAUCCGUUGGAACGCCGGCGGCGAAAGCGGGUCACUGGGCCUCUCCUGACGCUGAGACGCGAAAGCGUGGGUAGCAAACAGG